rnacentral:rRNA from 1 species
CGGCGUACGGGUGAGUAACACGUGGAUGAUCUACCUUCUAGUGGGGGAGUAACCCUGGGAAACCGGGGCUAAUACCGCAUAAGCCUGUGAAGGGAAAGCAGCAAUGCGCUGGAAGAGGAGUCCGCGGCCGAUUAGCUAGUUGGUGAGGUAAUGGCCUACCAAGGCUACGAUCGAUAGCCGGCCUGAGAGGGCACACGGCCACACUGGCACUGAAACACGGGCCAG